UCGGCGGGAUGCGGCGGAACGUGGAGGUGAAGGCGCGGCUGAGGGCGCGGGAGGAAGCGCUGAGGGCGGCCCUCAGACUGCGGGGGCUGGGCCCGGUGGGCCAGGUGUGCCCGGUGUGCCCCGGGGCCGGGCAGAGACCGCCCCAGGUGUGCCCCGGGGCCGGGCCGGGCACAGGUGAGGGGCAGGAACCGCCCCAGGUGUGCCCCGGGGCCGGGCAGGGACCGCCCCAGGUGUGCCCCGGGGCCGGGCAGGGACCGCCCCAGGUGUGCCCCGGGGCCGGGCCGGGCACAGGUGAGGGGCAGGAACCGCCCCAGGUGUGCCCCGGGGCCGGGCAGGUGCUGCUCCAGACCGACACGUUCUUCCGGGUGCCGCGGGGGCGGCUCAAGCUGCGCCGGACACAGGAUGGCCGGGGGGAGCUGAUUUUCUACGAGCGCCCCGACAGUGCCGGCCCCAAACUGUCCAGGUUCAGCAUCACCCCCACGGCCGACCCCGAGGGGCUGCAGGCGGUGCUGUCCCAGUCCCUGGGCGUGCUGGGCACGGUGAGGAAGGAGCGGCUCCUGUUCCUGCUGGGCCAGACCCGGCUGCACCUGGACCGGGUGCAGGGGCUCGGGGACUUCCUGGAGCUGGAGGUGGUGCUGCGGCCGGAGCAGAGCGAGGAGGACGGGCAGCGCCUGGCGCGGGAGCUGCUGCGGGAAUUGGGGAUCGGGGAGCAGGACCUCAUCUCUGGGGCCUACCUGGAUCUGCUGCUGGCACAGGGGGACAACGGGGACACCCCCCUGAGCCAGCCCCCGGCCGGCCACGGACAGCAGGGCUGAGGGCACGGGGACCUGGUGGCUGUGCCCACCCCAUAAACACCCUGUGCCCACCCUAUGGACACCCUGUGCCCACCCUAUGGACACCCUGUGCCUUGUCCCACCCCAUAAACACCCUGUGCCCCCUAUGGACACCCUGUCCCACCCCAUGGACACCCUGUGCCCCCAUGGACACCCUGUGCCCCUAAGGACACCCUGUGCCUUGUCCCAUCCCAUAAAUACCCUGUGCCCACCCCAUGGACACCCUGUCCCAUCCCGUAAACACCCUGUGCCCCCAUGGACACCCUGUCCCAUCCCAUAAACACCCUGUGCCCCCAUGGACACCCUGUCCCAUCCCAUAAACACCCUAUGCCCCCAUGGAGACCCUAAACCCCUCCACAGACACCCUGUACGCUGUCCUACCCCAUAAACACCCUGUGCCCACCCCACAGACACCCCCAGCCCCAUAAUGCCCCCCAGAAACCCCACACCCACCCCACAGACACCCCCAGCCCCAUAAUGCCCCCCAGAAACCCCACACCCACCCCACAGACAGCCCCAGCCCUGUCCCACCCCACAGACAGCCCCAACCCCAAAGCCCCCCUCGAAACCCCACCCUGUCCCCCCAUGGCCACCCUGUCCCCUGCCCGUGGUCACCAAUAAACUCCGGGCCCGCCCCGUG